ACCAAACCCACUUCUGGAACACCCCUCACCUCCUACCCCACAUCCCAGUCCUUAACACGAUGGCCACACUGACUGCCACCGGCACUGAGCUCUCGACACCGCACAGCGAGGUAGGACCUGCCCCAGCAAAGCCGUGUUCUCCAGGCUCAGUCCCCCACGCUCGGCUACAGAGAUCCGUGUUAGAGACAGCCAGAGCGUCUGCACUGAGUCGUGGCCUCAGGCAAAAUCACUAAAUGAGCCCCAGUAUUGAUAACUGAGUCCUAAAAAGAUCUAGAUUUGAAGCAGGGAGAAGAAGCCAUCUGAGCCCAGAAAGCUAGAGACAUCUCAGCAGCAGCCAGAGCAGACUCGAUGCCACCCGAGGGGUGCCAUCACCUCGCUCACAGCCCGUUUUCUGUAGGUUAAGGAGGAGCCGGGAGGCCACAGCAA